CUACCAUACCAUUGUAUGAGCUCUUUGUUCAACUAGGAACUUUAUUCCACAAUUGCUGAGGGAAAUAACAGCAUUUUAGAUGAGCAUGCCAUAGCAGCUUCCUUCUCUCAGAAAAUGUGAAAAUAUGUACUACUCGGUAGCUGCCCUGGGAGGAUGGAUGGGUGCUUAUGCUCAUCUGCUGCUAUCUUGGUAACUUGUAAGACUGGUAAGACUAAAGAAACUCUUCUGUGGCACAAGCUAUUCUGUGAAAACCCAGUGAGUCUUAAAUGGGUAGCUAAAACACUAUCAACUCCUGUCUGUGGGUUUUCCUUCCUUUCCUCUAGCUGUCUUUUGGGUAGGUGGUAUCAUCUAAGACAAACCUCUUGUCCAAGUUUUUUGCGUAAUAGGAUUUUUUAAACGGGGAUUUUUAGCCUUAUUCUUAUCAAUAACGGCCUGUGUUAUCCUGAUGGGGGGAAGCUCCAGAACAACGAACAAACAGCGGUAAUGUAUUGCAAGCUCCGCACGGAUCAUGGCUUUUGGCAAUAAAACGAGCGGACGUCUGAGGCAAAACGAAGUGUGCCGUGAACUUCUGCUGAUCAGGGUAACCCACGGAGUGGAAGUCCCAAAGGAGGCAGGAGGUGGCUGCACAGGCUGGGUGCCCGAUGCACAGGAAGCCACGGUGGGAACGCGCACAGAAACGUUCCGAGCCCGUAAUCUAACGAGAAAUCUAAGCCACUGCAGAAUCUGGAAAGGAAAUGAGCAGCGUGAGGCAGAGAUGGCCCAUUUCUCCGCCUGUGGACGGAAGAUGUCUGUAAAAUCUCUGUGCAGAGAUUAGGGGUUUGUCUUCUGAAUUGAUAGCGGACUGGCUGAAUUGCAAAGAUGGAUGUCCCUUAGUUUUGAUUUCUUUCCGGUUCCUCUAAUUCAUUGUAGAGCUUCUGUUAUCCCAGGCUGUGAUGUGACAGUUCCCACGUGAGAUUUUUUUUCUUUACAAAACCGAUGUUUGUUACUGUGUUAAACUACAGAUGCCAAAGCCUGGUGCAGUUGUUUGCAAUUUUACGGCAAUAAAUCGUACAAAGAACUUGA